UGCCACAGCCAUAUCACCCUGCAGCCCAAGACUGGUUGCCCACUGAAGCUAAGCAGGGUUGAGCCUGGUAAGUACCUGGAUGGGAGACCUCCUGGGAAAAUGAGGUUGCUGUUGGAA
ensembl:rRNA 5S_rRNA 5S ribosomal RNA